rnacentral:rRNA from 1 species
GCUUCCAUGCAGAUCGUGCGAGAAAGUANGCUUCGGUCUAUGAGUAGAGCGGCGCACGGGUUGAGUAACGCGUGGAUGAUCUACCCCUUGAGUUCGGGAUAACGGAACGAAAGAUCCGCUUAAUACCGAUAUAACAAUCCAUUUCAUCGUGGGUUCAAAGCAGGCCUCUUCGUGAAAGCUUGCGCUUGGGGAUGAGUCCGCGUCCCAUUAGCUUGUUGGCGGGGUAACGGCCCACCAAGGCAACGAUGGGUAGCUGGUCUGAGAGGAUGAUCAGCCACACUGGAACUGAAACACGGUCCAGACUCCUACGGGAGGCAGCAGUGGGGAAUAUUGCGCAAUGGGGGAAACCCUGACGCAGCGACGUCGUGUGAGGGAAGAAGGCCUUCGGGUCGUAUACCUCUGUCAGAAGGGAAGAAAAACUAGGAGUCGAAUAUCCUCUUAGUCUGACGGUACCUUCAAAGGAAGCGCCGGCUAACUCCGUGCCAUCAGCCGCGGUAAAACAGAGGGCGCAAGCGUUAAUCUGAAAUUACUGGGCGUAAAGCGUGCGUAACGCUGUUUGAUAAGUCAUACGUGAAAAUCCCUCGGCUCAACCGGGGAACUGCGUUUGAUACUGUUGAGACUAUUAGUCUAGCAGAGGGUGGC